rnacentral:rRNA from 1 species
UACGAAGGGUGCAAGCGUUACUCGGAAUUAUUGGGCGUAAAGCGUGCGCAGGCGGUUUUGUAAGUCUGUCGUGAAAUCCCCGGGCUCAACCUGGGAAUUGCGAUGGAGACUGCAAGGCUAGAAUCUGGCAGAGGGGGGUAGAAUUCCACGUGUAGCAGUGAAAUGCGUAGAGAUGUGGAGGAACACCGAUGGCGAAGGCAGCCCCCUGGGUCAAGAUUGACGCUCAUGCACGAAAGCGUGGGGAGCAAACAGG